GAUGAACGCUGGCGGCGUGCCUAAUACAUGCAAGUCGAGCGAACAGACGCGGAGCUUGCUCCUCUGACGUUAGCGGCGGACGGGUGAGUAACACGUGGAUAACCUACUUAUAAGACUGGGAUAACUUCGGGAAAACGGAGCUAAUACCGGAUAAUAUAUUGAAUCGCAUGGUUCAAUAGUCAAAGAAGGUUUUGGUGUCACUUAUAGAUGGAUCCGCGCCGCAUUAGCUAGUUGGUAAGGUAAUGGCCUACCAAGGCGACGAUGCGUAGCCGGCCUGAGAGGGUGAUCGGCCACACUGGAACUGAGACACGGUCCAGACUCCUACGGGAGGCAGCAGUAGGGAAUCUUCCGCAAUGGGCGAAAGCCUGACGGAGCAACGCCGCGUGAGUGAUGAAGGUCUUCGGAUCGUAAAACUCUGUUAUUAGGGAAGAACAAAUGUGUAAGUAACUAUGCACGUCUUGACGGUACCUAAUCAGAAAGCCACGGCUAACUACGUG
rnacentral:rRNA from 1 species